AUUGACCUCGGAUCAGGUAGGAUACCCGC
rnacentral:rRNA from 2 species